UACGAAGGGGGCUAGCGUUGCUCGGAAUCACUGGGCGUAAAGCGCACGUAGGCGGACUCUUAAGUCGGUGGUGAAAUCCUGGAGCUCAACUCCAGAACUGCCUUCGAUACUGAGAGUCUCGAGUCCGAGAGAGGUGAGUGGAACUGCGAGUGUAGAGGUGAAAUUCGUAGAUAUUCGCAAGAACACCAGUAGCGAAGGCGGCUCACUGGCUCGGUACUGACGCUGAGGUGCGAAAGCGUGGGGAGCAAACAGG
rnacentral:rRNA from 1 species